CUGAAUGUUGUGCAAAAGAAAGUUGCCUGCACUUUAAUGAUCCCCCCUGUCAGCACACAUGAACCAAUUUGGCAACCCAAAUAAUGACGUUACACCAUUUAGCAACGAUUGGUCAACAUAAUUGCAUCUGAGUCUGGCACAGUGUGCAUUUACGAGCGCAUUUUGUUUCAAUAAAGUUGGGGAAAAGAAAAAAAACAGCACAUUUUGUCACGCUGAUCAAAGCGACAACAAGAAAACGUCAUGCCUCAGAGACUUUAUCCACCACCAGGAGCUAAAAAAAGAUAAAGAACUUCAACAUCAAUCACAAGUUCCGUCUCAGCCGACAGUUUCUUCUGCUCUCAAAAAGCAUCAAAAGUAUUGGAGGUGGUGCAGCGUCCACAUCCCAAGAUGUUCCUGACUUCACUGAAGAUUUCAUCUCAGAGGCUCCAAGAGAGGCGUGUAUGAAAGAGGAGCCGACUGGAUCCAAAAUUCCACCUACCGGUACCUCAAACCCAGUUGGUCAAGCUGAAUGACCAACCACACUCUCUGAUCCAGUAAGAAUGGAUUUGGUACAAAGAGGUCCUUUUCAGACUGAGAAAGACUCUGACUUUCCAAAC